rnacentral:lncRNA from 1 species
GUUGGCCAGGCUGGUCUCGAACUCCUGGCCUCAAGUGAUCUACCCUCCUGGGCCUCCCAAAGUGCUGGGAUUACAGGCAUGAGCCACUUCGCCCAGACUUGUUUGUUUUUAAAAUUCAUUUAACUUCCUUUAAGCAUAAAAGGGAAUUUAUUGGAAGAGUCCUGGAGUAGCACACAAAACUCAAGGCCAAGAACUACAGCCGGAGCUACAUGAAGGCCUGGAACCAGGAAAGUUGCCUGGACAGGAGGUCGCUUGGGAAGGUUUCUUCUUCCUUAUUCUCUGCCUGGAAUUGUCUAGGGAUUGCUGGCUGAUGGUAAGAGGGUUUUGAUGGGGGAGUAAAGUCUAGUUCUGUCAAAGAGCAUUUGUAGGUUAGGGACAAACUGUUGUUCAGUUGGAAGAGGG